rnacentral:rRNA from 1 species
UACGUAGGGUGCGAGCGUUAAUCGGAAUUACUGGGCGUAAAGGGCGCGUAGGUGGCCUGUUAAGUCGAACGUGAAAUCCCCGGGCUCAACCCGGGAACUGCGUCCGAGACUGGCAGGCUCGAAUCCGGGAGAGGGAUGCAGAAUUCCAGGUGUAGCGGUGAAAUGCGUAGAUAUCUGGAGGAAUACCGGUGGCGAAGGCGGCAUCCUGGACCGACAUUGACGCUGAGGAGCGAAAGCUAGGGGAGCAAACGGG